ACUGAAACACCGGUUCCUGUACGAUCACCGAAGUUAAGCAGCAUCGACCCUGGUCAGUACCUUGAUGGGUGACCGUUUAGGAAUACCAGGUGCUGUAAG